rnacentral:rRNA from 1 species
UACGCCUACGGGGCGCAGCAGUGGGGGAUAUUGCACAAUGGAGGAAACUCUGAUGCAGCGACGCCGCGUGAGGGAAGACGGUCUUCGGAUUGUAAACCUCUGUCUUUGGGGAAGAAAAUGACGGUACCCAAAGAGGAAGCUCCGGCUAACUACGUGCCAGCAGCCGCGGUAAUACGUAGGGAGCGAGCGUUGUCCGGAAUUAUUGGGUGUAAAGGGUGCGUAGACGGAAGAACAAGUUGGUUGUGAAAUCCCUCGGCUCAACUGAGGAACUGCAACCAAAACUAUUCUCCUUGAGGGUCGGAGAG